rnacentral:rRNA from 1 species
GAAUACACCCAAUCUUGUCUGAUCUGCAAAACUAAGCAGGGUUAGGCCUGGUUAGUAUUUGGAUGGGAGACUACCUGGGAAUACCAGGUGCUGUAAGCU